GAGCAAUUCGUAAACAACUAUUCUAUUUUCCUGGUAGCCUAGGGUGGGUUGGCUAAUAUUUUGUGAUUGGUGACAGGUUUCAUUUCUCUGAAACACUCUAGACCUACUAUUGAUUUGGUGCGGGUUCGUAGGCUAUCCAUUAAACCGGCUCAGAAAUAAGACUUGGAAUUAUUUUAUUUGCAUAGCUGUAGUAGAUUUCAUCGUGACAUCACGUUUUUUAAUGGCUUCAGUAGUAGCUGCAUUGAGUUUGGAGCAAGAGACGCAUUUGUUGAAGCUCCUUCCCGAACCUGCCCAACUUCACCUGCUCUACAAGGGAAGCCACCAUGGGUUCAACAUGCAUACGUUGAGAUCUAAAUUUGACAAAGAAGGAAGAUUCGUUGUAAUAGUGUAUUUCAAUUCUGGGGAUGUAAAGGGGGGUUACCUGAGUAAAUCAUCUAAUGAGAGUGAGGACCAAGACGCAUUUGCCUUCGAAAUAAACCAUCAAGAAGUAACACACUUCCCUGUUCUGGAUGACUCUAAAGCGACGCAUUUUUCAACCUCUAUGUCAAAUGGUUGCUUGACGUUUGGGGAUUGUCUAAAGUUGUACACCGAGAAUAUAUCCAUUUGCGUGGAAUCGUGGGAUAUUAUGUAUCACCAGGGUUGUUGGCGGGAGCCGGAGUACCUGGAUGUUGAGCUGUAUCGAGUUGGAAAGGGAGGGGGUCACUGAGGAAGAAUCUGGUCUCCUUCAAACCGGCCUGCCGAUCUUUAAACCGGGUCAGAGUUCUGCUGAUGGGUCCUCCUGGGUCAGGAAAAUCCAGCUUCAUCAACUCUGUCAGAUCUGUGAUGUUCGGAAGAGUCCUUCUCCUGCCUUUUAUUGGCACUGCAACAAAGGGCUUCAUCAAGAAGCUGAAGUCGUAUGACAUCCGGUCAGAGAGAGGGGGGAAGCCCACAGCUCUGACCCUUUGUGAUGUGUUGGCUCUGGGGGACGGCGAGAGGACUGGCCUGACUCUCACAGACGCACUGGCUGUUAUCAAGGGAUAUGCCCCCGAGGGAUGUAUAGUAUUACCUAUCUAAAUGUAACAAUACAAUCAAGAUUUUAAAAACCCUUAGUCUUACUGAGGAUAAAUAUCAGAAGAGAUGGGCCUAUAUUGCUUGCUAUGGUUUGUCCACAUUUGACACAUGUAAACUUGGAAGGCCUACUUUUUAAAUGUUUUAUUGUUGAUGCUGUUAUAACCAACUUUGAUAAAUAUACUAAAUGUACAGUAUCUGUUUUCUUUGCUUCUCAUCAAUAAAAUGAUUCUCCCACACAAUAGUUUCAAAGUGAAGCGCCCAUCAAAGCUGAGACUUCAGGUUACAGACCUGUUCCAUCGAUAAAUGACCAAAUCCAUUGUGCGGUGUUCGUUCUGAAUGCCUGCCAAAUCAUGUCCACCAGUGAUGACCUUACAGAGACACUGAGGACACUUCAAGCUGAGAUCGCAGAUCUGGACAUCCCCCAGGUGGUUCUGUUGACCCAUGUGGACCAGGUGUGUCAUGCCAUCCAAGAGGAUGUGAAGUUUGUCUACUCCAGCCGCAUCUUACAGGAGAAGAUGCAGAAGGCAGCAGAGGUGGUGGGUUUGCCAGUGUCCUAUGUGCUUCCAGUGAAGAACUAUUCCAGUGAGCUGUCUGUGAGCUGCAACACUGACAUCCUGCUGCUGAGUGCAGUUCAUCACAUUCUCCAAGCUGUGGACGACACAUAUGAGGAAAACCACCCUCUCACCACUGCAGACGCAUCUGCAGAACCUCCAUCUGCAGAAUUUCACAACAAGCCCAGUAACCUUUUAAUAUUUGACUAGUAACCAUUGGUGAGAAAUCAUGUGCAGUUGUUUAUUGUGAUUGGAUAAUGUUUUCUUUGUUUUCUUUUGGGUGUAAUUUUUUCCUCUCCAGAUGUUGGAACCUACCUAUGUUUAUUAGGUUUAAAAAUAACAAGUUAAUUCAAGUGAGACAAAGUAUGUUGUUGUACAAUAAACCAAUGAGAAGAUGA